CGCGUGUGAUUUGAUUUCAGAGGAUCAUGGAGCAGCGCUCUGACCGCGGUGUGUCGGAGUGUCGUGCCCGCACGGAUGCGCUUCUAACACGGUUACUUUUGCUCCGGAGCCCCGCUGAACGGAACUAAAGCUGGAGGAUCGGAUCGGUACCGAUGGCUGAUCCUCUGCGGAGGACAAUUCUAGCCAAACUCAGGGGCAAGAAACCCAAAGGGAAAGACGCGAGCACCGCGAACCGGCCGAGAGAAGGUAAAGAAAAAGUUUCUCAAACGCAGACAGAGAGAGAUUACAUUUCACAUGCGAUGAGGGCUGAGGAGAGGUGUGUGGCCGCUCUCGGCUGCAGCGCGGCUCCCCGGUGCGCUGUGCGUGUCACCGGGUUCUCAGGGCCCGGGGGCCCCGCUGAUCAAAGCGAGCGCACCGAGCUGAAGCGUCUCCAGACGCCGCGGGUCCGCGGAGACUCGGUCGGCUUCAGCGGCUGCGAUUUAAAACCCCGACGAGAGGCUUUACAGCUAGCAGAUGGUCAAGAUCUAAAGAAUAAAGGACCAAAUGUUACACUACUCGAGCAAAAGGCCGGGGAAAACAUUAUGAGCGACUUUGAACGUCACGCCAGGGGCCCCCAGCCUCAUGUGUUUGAUUAUAUAGACGCGGAAAGCGAUUUAAUUCAGGUUAUAGAGAGUUCGCUGGAAUAUCAUGGAGAGUUUAGGAUGCCCGCAUUACAAAGUCCGAAUUUUUUCCCCACUGAUCUAAAAAUAACAGUGGCCCCUGGGCUGAGAGAUGGGGCCCCUCGACACCACUCAGUCGACAGCGAGGACGACGAUUAUUAUGAUAACCAAACUCUACCCUUUUAUGAGUCUCACACUCACUUGAAAGAGCGAAAUACGAAUAUCGGUGAGCCGAUAUCGGCGUCGGAAUCUAACGAAACCGACAGAUUGAAGUCCCAACUGAAAGAGGCGUAUUAUUUGCUAAUAAACACAAUGCACAACAUCAGAUUCGACGGUCAGGUCGAAGAUAACGAAUUUGUGGAUCAGGCCAGUAGCGCUAGUCAAUCCCACGGCAGCGUCAGCACAGAAAGCGACGCGUGUUCGUCCGAAGAACGUAACGAUUCUGCGUUUCUCGGACGAUGUGGGGUGGGUCUGACGGGGUCUUCGCAGAGCAGAAGCUUGCAGAAUAUUCACGACGCGACUCCCAAAACGACGCUCCAGCGGUCGGUGAGCGACAGCAAGGUGAAGUACUCGUCAAACCGUGAGGAAGAGUCGCGAGCCGCCGUCGCAUCGGGUCUCGAUGUGCAACAGGUGAACCCUACGGAAGCCCUCCCGACGCUUGCUUCAGCGCGCCGAUCCUGCGACGACGCAGCGGUGCCCAAACAUCCCGGAGUCACCGUCAACAAGAUGCAAGAGUGGAUGCAGAAAGGUCGCGUGCUUUCGUCCGAGAUGAAGCAGAGGAUCGCGGGUUCCUCGCUGAGAGCCAAUCACGUGAGGCAGCAGACAGGUAUGGACGGCCGCUGGCGUGGAGGACCUCAAAACCAUCUCAUUCAUCUCACAAUCUCUGGUGGAAAGCGCUGAGAGAGCUUCUCGGUGUCUUUUAACCGGUGCUGGGGUUUUUCCUCCUCUUCCUUCAUGACUAAUGCCGUUUCACCUAACACGGUUGGCAGGAGCGUGCCGG
rnacentral:lncRNA from 1 species